UAGGGAAUCUUCGGCAAUGGACGAAAGUCUGACCGAGCAACGCCGCGUGAGUGAAGAAGGUUUUCGGAUCGUAAAACUCUGUUGUUAGAAAAGAACAAGGACGUUAGUAACUGAACGUCCCCUGACGGUAUCUAACCAGAAAGCCACGGCUAACUACGUGCCAGCAGCCGCGGUAAUACGUAGGUGGCAAGCGUUGUCCGGAUUUAUUGGGCGUAAAGCGAGCGCAGGCGGUUUCUUAAGUCUGAUGUGAAAGCCCCCGGCUCAACCGGGGAGGGUCAUUGGAAACUGGGAGACUUGAGUGCAGAAGAGGAGAGUGGAAUUCCAUGUGUAGCGGUGAAAUGCGUAGAUAUAUGGAGGAACACCAGUGGCGAAGGCGGCUCUCUGGUCUGUAACUGACGCUGAGGCUCGAAAGCGUGGGGAGCAAACAGG
rnacentral:rRNA from 1 species